AAGACUAUACUUUCAGGGAUCAUUUCUAUAGUUUGUUACUAGUUUUUUUCCUUGAAAACAUGGUGAGGACAGGGUGAAGAGUGCCAGGUAGAGGCCUAGAGACCAUGUGAUAUGGCAGCGAGGAGCCCGCACCUCCCGCUCCACGUGGGAGGUUGG
rnacentral:snoRNA from 1 species